rnacentral:rRNA from 1 species
AACGAACGCUGGCGGCAGGCCUAACACAUGCAAGUCGAACGCUGCAGCAAUGCAGAGUGGCAGACGGGUGAGUAACGCGUGGGAAUCUUCCUAUCGGUACGGAAUAGCUCAGGGAAACUUGGGAUAAUACCGCAUACGCCCUUCGGGGGAAAGAUUUAUCGCCGAUAGAUGAGCCCGCGUCUGAUUAGCUAGUUGGUGAGGUAAUGGCUCACCAAGGCGACGAUCAGCAGCUGGUCUGAGAGGAUGACCAGCCACACUGGGACUGAGACACGGCCCAGACUCCUACGGGAGGCAGCAGUGGGGAAUAUUGGACAAUGGGCGCAAGCCUGAUCCAGCCAUGCCGCGUGAGUGACGAAGGUCUUCGGAUUGUAAAGCUCUUUUGGCGGGGACGAUAAUGACGGUACCCGCAGAAUAAGCCCCGGCUAACUUCGUGCCAGCCGCCGCAGUAAAAC